GAUGAACGCUGGCGGCGUGCCUAAUACAUGCGAGUAGAACGCUGAAGGAAGGAGCUUGCUCUUUCCGGAUGAGUUGCGAACGGGUGAGUAACGCGUAGGUAACCUGCCUGGUAGCGGGGGAUAACUAUUGGAAACGAUAGCUAAUACCGCAUAACAGUAGAUGUUGCAUGAUAUCUACUUAAAAGGUGCAAUUGCACCACUACCAGAUGGACCUGCGUUGUAUUAGCUAGUUGGUGAGGUAACGGCUCACCAAGGCGACGAUACAUAGCCGACCUGAGAGGGUGAUCGGCCACACUGGGACUGAGACACGGCCCAGACUCCUACGGGAGGCAGCAGUAGGGAAUCUUCGGCAAUGGACGGAAGUCUGACCGAGCAACGCCGCGUGAGUGAAGAAGGUUUUCAGAUCGUAAAGCUCUGUUGUAAGAGAAGAACGAGUGUGAGAGUGGAAAGUUCACACUGUGACGGUAUCUUACCAGAAAGGGACGGCUAACUACGUG
rnacentral:rRNA from 1 species